AAACUGCGAUACGUAGUGUGAAUUGCAGAAUUUUGUGAGUCAUCGAAUCCUUGAACGCACAUGGCGCUCUUGGGCAAUCCCGAGAGCAUUGUUGUUUGAGCAUCUUUUUCUUCUUUAUCGGUGAUGAGUCUCUCAGCUUGCUUUUAAAGAGCAGUGGAGUGGCUUUAAAGGUUUUGUAAUGCCAGCAAACAAAUAUAGUGGUGGUGGUGGUGGUGGUGGUGGAAACACAGCCAGCAACAGCGAUCCUCGGUAAAUAUCGCGGUAAUCGCGCGAAGCAGCUGUCCCCAACCACACACACAACCCACAAACAAAUAAGAUCUCAAAUCAACAAAGAGUACCCGCUGAACUUAA
rnacentral:misc_RNA from 1 species